AGCGAACGCUGGCGGCAGGCUUAACACAUGCAAGUCGAGCGGGCGUAGCAAUACGUCAGCGGCAGACGGGUGAGUAACGCGUGGGAACGUACCUUUUGGUUCGGAACAACACAGGGAAACUUGUGCUAAUACCGGAUAAGCCCUUACGGGGAAAGAUUUAUCGCCGAAAGAUCGGCCCGCGUCUGAUUAGCUAGUUGGUGAGGUAACGGCUCACCAAGGCGACGAUCAGUAGCUGGUCNGAGAGGAUGAUCAGCCACAUUGGGACUGAGACACGGCCCAAACUCCUACGGGAGGCAGCAGUGGGGAAUAUUGGACAAUGGGCGCAAGCCUGAUCCAGCCAUGCCGCGUGAGUGAUGAAGGCCCUAGGGUU
rnacentral:rRNA from 1 species